rnacentral:tRNA from 1 species
GGUAGCAUGGCCGAGCGGUCUAUGGCGCUGGUUUAAGGCACCCAGUCAUUUCGAUGGCGUGGGUUCGAAAUCCCCACUGCUGCCA